AAGAGUCGGACAGUGCACGGUGGCCCUGUUUGCUUGCUUUGGCUCCGGUCAGGGUGGCGGCAGCGGAACUACCCCGUGCAUAAAACUGUCCGCUCUAACAGGCCGAAGUGGUUCUCUGUGCGUAGACUCCUUGAUUGGGGUUGAAAGCGCCUACGCACCAACCACAUGCAUACGGGACGUCGGCCAAUGUUACUGUGAACAAACCAGCGUGUCCAAAGCAGGCUUGCCUGAAUGUUCGAGCAUGGAAUAACAAGGGAUCAAUUAUCUCGGUUCUUUUUGUUGGGUUUUAACCCGAGAAUGAAUAAUGCAGGCCACGGUGUCUGAGGUGGGUUUCCCUAGGCUUCGGUUUAGGCCCUAUCUAGGCCGUGUCCUUACGGGAUCAAUAGGGACUGACGGGGCCGUACCUACUUCCUCGUCAGAGGUGAAAUUCUUAGAUCGCGGGAAGAGGACUUCCGCGAAAGCAUUCGACAAGAAUGUAUUCAUUAACCAAGAACGAGAGUGUGGGGAUCGAAGAUGAUUAGAUACCGUCGUAGUCCACACUGUAAACAAUGCCGUCUCAGGAUUGAGAAGUGAACGUAAUGACUUUCGCAGCACUAACCCCUGAAACCAGAAAUCAAAGAUUAUGGGUUCAGGGGGGAGUACAUUCGCGAGGCUGGAACUUAAAGGGAUUGACGGAAUGACACCACAAGGCGUGGAGUAUGCGGCUUAAUUUGACUCAACACGGGGAAUUUUACUAGGUCA
rnacentral:rRNA from 1 species